rnacentral:rRNA from 1 species
GGGAAUAUUGGACAAUGGGGGAAACCCUUAUCCAGCGACGCCGCGUGAGGGAAGAAGGUUUUCGGAUUGUAAACCUCUGUCAGUGGGGACGAUAAUGACGGUACCCACGGAGGAAGCCACGGCUAACUACGUGCCAGCAGCCGCGGUAAUACGUAGGUGGCAAGCGUUAUCCGGAAUUACUGGGUGUAAAGGGAGCGUAGACGGUGAUGUAAGUCUGGAGUGAAAGGCGGGGGCCCAACCCCCGGACUGCUCUGGAAACUAUGUGACUGGAGUGCAGGAGAGGUGAGCGGAAUUCCUAGUGUAGCGGUGAAAUGCGUAGAUAUUAGGAGGAACACCAGUGGCGAAGGCGGCUCACUGGACUGUAACUGACGUUGAGGCUCGAAAGCGUGGGGAGCAAACAGG